UUUCGUUUUUCUCUGCUUCGUUCCGCAACAGCACGCAUUUAUUUUCCUCUCCAUAGACGCUGUUGUCCCUCUUGCCGCCGCCGCCGCACCUCCCUCGCGACUCGCGCCGCAGCCAGAGCACCUACGUCGUCGCUUGACGCGCAGGCACUGCCGCUGCCGAUGGCAACGGAGCACGUCCACCGCCAGAGCACCGCCGCCGCCGCGCAGCCCAUCCACCGUCGUCCUAACCGUGUGCAUCGCCCCGCCCUCUGCCGCUCGUCGACCAGCCGCCGUCACCCGCCCAUCCGCUGCCCGUCUGCGCCGACCCGAUUCUUGAUCACGGCUGCGCGCGGCUUGGCGGCAUCGCUGCUGCCUCAUGCCCAAGGCACCAUCCCCCAUCCACACCGUGGGUCUCGGGGCUACCGCGGCGCCUCGGGUUUUGAGCCCGCCGCCCUGCCUUUUCCUCCUCCGCCUACCCCGAUGCUGCGAUUUGCUUCCUUACCGACGUGGAUCGUGAAGUGCUUCUGCACCUACGGAGGCUCGGAAGGAAGGAUCCCACAACAUAGGUUUAGACCAUGACCCAUAUUCGUAUCUGUUGUUCCUUUUCCCCUUUCUUUAACAACAUAGGUUUAUGAGGAAGAAGCAAAACAAAUUUAUCGAUCAGUUGCCAGCGGACGGAUAUCUCUCUAAUCCCCGUUGUAUUAUGUGCUUUUCUUGUGUUAACAUUUGCAAGUAAUUACAAUAAUAUGUUUGAUAUUUUAAACAUAUUAGAACAAGACCAUUACAUUAAAAAACAUAUCAUCUGUAAAAUAUUACCAACUGUGCAAUGCAAUAUUAUGUUAGAUACUCUCUUCACUUCCAAGGAUAAAUCAUUUGGGCAUGGACCGUCUCGAAGGUACCACUUUGACAACUCUUUCAAUCAGUAAUAUAUACUCCCUCCGAUCCUAAAUUGUUAUCGAAAUAUUACAUGUAUCUAGACGCCUUUUAAGAAUAGAUACAUCCAUAUUUGUUAAAUUUGAGUCAAGAAUUUAGGAUCAGAGGGAGUAGUUUGUAGUCAUGGAGAACCUGAUUUCUGAUCGGGUAGACAAUAUGUCCAUGCAGAUAAAGUGUUUUUACAUUUGUUUAUGUACCCCAAUUGAUUGGAAAAUUUUGGUUUACAUUUGGCCUUGCGUUUUUUGUGUCCAGUACCAUUUAAAAUUUAAAUUCACAUAACUCUCUGUUAAUUAAUUAAUGUUAUUUUUAACUAAACGGUCAUGUUCACUUCAUGUUGAGAAUAUGAAAGAAUCAACACAUCAUCGAUAGUGAAAAAGGAGAUUUGUAACAUAACUAAAUUCAUACAUUGCAGCUUGAUGAUUGGCAUGGCAGGACAAAAAAUAUCAAUUUUGUAAAAAAGCAACAUGUGUGUUGUUUUUUAGUUAUAUAGUUUUUUUUGUUCUAGGUCAUGCCUUUUAAUUGUUUACCAUCACGUAAUUCACCAAAUGUUUUUAGUUUGGCGGAGCAGUCGUUGUGACCGUAUCCAAGAUCAACAAUGACAAUUGUUCUUGGCAUGUUUGAUGAUGCUUGGAGUGAACUUUCUGCUACUAUUUUUCCACUAACGUUUUGAGUCAUAUUUCAUUAGCUUACAAGAUAUUGUUUCUUGUGCCACAUAUUGCAGAUGAAAGGCCUAAUGAUAUUGUUGGAAGUGCAUAUUAUGUCGUCCCAGAGGUUCUACACACACAAAAUAAUAUGGAAGCAGACAUUGAGUAUAGGUGUCAUAAUAUACAUUCUGCUCUGUGGUAGUCAGCCAUUUUGGGCACAGACAGAAUCUGGAAUCUUCUGUAUAUGUGUUGAGAGCUGAUUUUAACCUUGAUGAUUCGCCCUGGCCUUCAGUGUUAGUUGAAGCUAAGGAUUUUGUGUGAAGAUUUCUGAACAAGGAUUACCUCAAAAGACGAAUGACUUCUAUCCAAGCAUUGACUCACCCAUGGUUGCAGGAUGAUCAAAGGCAGAUUCCAUUUACAUUCUUAUGUACAGAUUAAUUAAGCAAUACCUUUGUGAUGUACCUAUUAAACGUCUGGCACUAAAGGUAUAUCAUUAGGUGAUCAUAUACUUUUUAUUCAUCUCUCUCAUAAUCCCUGUCUGAAUAACCUGUACAUUUCCUUUAUUAUGUGCUCUUCUUGUGUCAGCAUCUGCAAAUACUUUUAAUAAUAAUUUUGGUACUUUAAACAUAUUGCCAACUGUGCAAUGCAGUGUUAGAUACUCUCUUUAGUUCCAAGGAUAAUCAUUUGGGCAUGGACUGUCUUAGAGGUACCACUUUGACUGCUAUUUUAAUCAUAGUAUGUUGAAAUAUAUGCUGGCUGGUAUAUCUCAUGGAGAAUCAGAUGAACCAGUAGUGGCCACCCGGGAUACUUUUCUCUUUGAACUGACGGUAAAAGUCAAUCUUACAAAAUACGUCAAUUUUCGUAUUUUUUGAUUCGGGAGCUUCAUAGGAUGCUGGUUGGUAUAUCUCAUGGAGAAUCGAAUGAAACAAUAGUGGCCACCUGGCAACUUUUUCUUUAGACCGAUGGUAAAAGUGGAUAAUAGUAACUUCACGAUGGAUCAUAUUUUGCUUCACUAGCUCCAUUUAUGGUAAAAUUAAUUUUGCUUCUCUAUCUCCAUUUAAGGUUAAAUUUGUGGAAGGUUCAAACUGAAGUCCAAUUGACUGAGAGCAAACGGAAUCAUUUCACUUGAGUAAGAAACAGGGUAGUAUACUAGCAUUGACAGAACAAUACCCUGAGGUAGUUUUUACAUCGUUCUGAUUAGUAUUGACCUUUAAAUAAUCACUGCUCCCUUUUUUAUUUUGUGAAAUCCUUUACUAUUUGUAGCAUUGCUUCACCAGGACAUGUAUGGGAUAUCAAGCUUAAUCCUUUAAUAUGAAAACCUCCGUGUAUUUUUAAUUGAGGUCAUGUCUUUGAACUGAGCAAGUUUGAAGUAAAGUCCUUGUAUGUGCUUGUCCAAGUGUCCCAUUAUGUUGGUUGAUAUUCUCAAGUUUGGCACACAUUUCUUUGUCUCCUUGCUUACAUAAUACAUAUGAAUUAUAAAUGUGCUAGGCUGCAUUUUCAUGAUGUAUUGCUUUAUGCUUUCCUUUCUUUAAGAACUCAUGUUUUUCCUUUUGAUCUACAGGUUGCUAAUCUUUUGUGCCUGCACCUUACAGUUAGCUAUAAAGGGGCAGAAUUGAGUAAAUUCAAACUCAGAACUGAGGUAAAAAAAAUGUUCUGUGAUAUGAAAUCGCUAUUCUGCCCACGUGCCUACUUCGAUCCAUGCCAUCUAGCAAUACAAGUCAACCAAGAGCUGUCAGGGUACUUCCCCAUCGACUUGUGCUUCCGGUAGCAGUUAUCAUAUUACAAUCGUUAGUGAAGAAUGAGUCUUUGUUCCUGUUAAACACGUAUUGAUAGGCUCAUUGACUUGUACCUUUUGAUAUUUCAGUUAUGAUUCUGUUAGCCGGUUUUUCUAUAUGUACUUAAGUGGAAUGAUGUCAUUUCUGGUGACAAGCUGAAGUGCAUACAAAGUGCUUAACUAUUUAUGUCAUCA